rnacentral:rRNA from 1 species
ACGAACGCUGGCGGCGUGCUUAACACAUGCAAGUCGAACGGAAAGGCCCCUUUGGGGGUACUCGAGUGGCGAACGGGUGAGUAACACGUGAGUAACCUGCCCUUGACUUCGGGAUAACUUCAGGAAACUGGGGCUAAUACCGGAUAGGAAUCCUUGCUGCAUGGUGGGGGUUGGAAAGCUUCGGCGGUUUUGGAUGGACUCGCGGCUUAUCAGCUUGUUGGUGGGGUAGUGGCUUACCAAGGCUUUGACGGGUAGCCGGCCUGAGAGGGCGACCGGCCACAUUGGGACUGAGAUACGGCCCAGACUCCUACGGGAGGCAGCAGUGGGGAAUAUUGCACAAUGGGCGGAAGCCGGAUGCAGCAACGCCGCGUGCGGGAUGACGGCCUUCGGGUUGUAAACCGCUUUCAGCAGGGGCGAAGCUUGUGGUGACGGUACCUGCAGAAGAAGCACCGGCUAACUACGUG